rnacentral:tRNA from 1 species
CGGGGUGUGGUGUAACGGCUAACAUUCCUGUUUUGGGAACAGGCGACUCCGGGUUCGAAUCCCGGCACCCCGA